AUGGCGGCCAGCCGCCGCCGCCACGCCCGCUCGCCGGCGGUAGCGCCGCUGGAAGACGACGACCUGCUCUCCGAGAUCCUCGUCCGCCUUCCCCCGCAGCCCUCCUCCCUCCCGCGCGCCUCCCUCGUCUGCAAGCGCUGGCGCCGCCUCGUCUCCGACCCCGCCUUCUGCCGCCGCUUCCGCCUCCGCCACGGCCGCAACCCUCCUCUCCUCGGUUUCUUCGACAUAUUUUGUGACAUCUCCUUCAUACCUACUCUGGAGGCCCCCGACCGUGUCCCUCCCGGCCGCUUCUCCUUGCAGCUCGACGACGGGGACGGCGACUUCAUGUCCCUUGGAUGCCGCCAUGGUCUCGUGCUCAUCUACCUUAGGAAGCGCCUCCAGAUCCUGGUGUGGGACCCCGUCACCGCCGACCAGCACCGCCUCGCCAUUCCCCCUGUGGUUGCGGCAUGUAGGGGGGAGACUCUGAUCAACGGGGCGGUGCUUCGCGAUGCUGGAGACGUCCAACACUUCCAGGUGGUCUUGGUAGUGGCAUAUGAUGACGACCAACAACACAGACAAGCGCUCGCCUGUGUUUACUUGUCGAAGACAGGCUUAUGGGGAGAUCCCAUCAAAACACUCCUUCCACACCAGGCAGUCCAAGCCGAUGUAAUCAGUUUUCCCACCGUGGUUUCUACAGAUGUUGCUGUGCUGGCUGGAGAUUCCCUUUACUGGCUGCUUGUUGGGAAUUUCACUGGCAUUCUCGAGUUUGAUUUGGAGAAGCAGAGGCUAGCUGUGAUACGACUGCCAAAGGAGGUCAGCUGCUGGAAGCUUAUGCGGGCAGAGGGCGGUGGGCUUGGUCUCCUCAGGAUGCCAGAUUCAAACUGCAACACCCAGUUAUGGAAGAGGAAGACCAAUUGUGAUGGUGUUGCUUCAUGGGUGCUUGGAAGGACUAUGAAUCUGGAGAAUAUACUUCCCCUGAAACCAGAGGAGAAAGGGGCCAUUGCGAUACUAGCGCUUGCUGAAGGCAAUAAUGUGUUGUUGCUGUGGACUAUUAUCGGCCUCUUCGUGGUCAAUCUUGAGUCAUUAAAGUUCAAGAAGCUUUUCAAAACUAUGAUAGUUUCUCAGUAUUAUCCAUUUGAAAGUGUCUACACUGCAGAAACAGACAUUGGUGGUGGACAUGAUGGAGUUGAUCUUUUGCACAAGACAUAA
rnacentral:rRNA from 1 species